CUCCCUCUCCCUCCCUCUCUCUGCCUCUCCCUCGCCCUCUCACGCGCUCUCCCUUUCCCUCUCCCUCUCCGCUCACUCUCCUCUCACUCUCACUCUCCCUAUCUAUCUCUCUCAGAUAUUCUUUUCAAGCAUUAAGGUUUUGAUCUAUUUUUUUUUCUCUUCUUUCUUGAAGCUGUUCAAGUGAUAUGCAGAGAUUGGGUGAAUCGCUCUUGUAAACUGCGGAAAAGACUUCAACUCUACAUCUAUCAGCACCCGUUCUCAAUUACUUCAGCUCCCGGAGAUGAUUACCUGAGCAUCCACAUCCAGCAGCUGGGAGAUUGGACACGAGCUCAAAAGGGUCUUCUCCGAGGUAUGUGAGCCUCCAGUAGCGGGUAAAAGUGGGCUUCUAAGAGCUGAUGAAACCACCAAGAAAAGUUUGCCAAAGCUCUUGAUAGAUGGGCCUUAUGGAGCUCCUGCUCAGGAUUAUCGUAAAUAUGACGUCUUGUUACUCGUUGGAUUAGGAAUAGGAGCAACACCUUUCAUCAACAUAUUGAAAGAUUUGCUCAAUAAUAUCAUAAAAAUAGAAGAGCAAGCAAUGAGUAUAUUUUAGUCAAAGCUAAUGGUUUUGUUUUCUUUUGGACUCUGAUCAUGGAUUGCGUUGCCACAUUUUUAUCUUUUUCUCAUCUUGUUUUUAUUAUUCUUGCGCACGCGGGUUUCUCCAUAGCAUCUCUUUUCCAGUUUGUUGCAGAGUGUCAUUUGUUUGUUCUUUCCUUGACUUGGUCACUCUCUUGUGAAUCCAAAUUCUGGCAUCUCUAGUAUGUUUUACUUCUUGGCCUGCAGGUUUGCUAAGGCCACAUCCAUGCUCAUCCAAUUGCAAGUGCAUGUGUGGGCCACAAUGAUUAGAUCUUCUUGCUUGGAAAUCAUGCUGUUUCACUUUUUAGGUGGGCCUUAAUCUACAAAACAUAUGGACCACUAAAGGAAUUUUUUGUUAGCCAUCCAUUUCUUUUGUACACGCAUGCUCGUGCGCACAUGAUAGUUUAGCUAACUCCAUUUAGUUAGGAUAAGGCUUUGAUGAUGAUGAUGAUAGUGAUGAUCUAUUUGUUUGAACACUGGCCCACCUGGCAAGUGAAACAGCCUGGUUUGUAGGCCAGCAGAUGUAAUAAGUGUGGUCCACCUGAUGGAAAGAUUGGUUCUUGCACAAGUGUUCCUUAUUGGUCCAUGUGCUUGCGAGUAUGGGCAUCAUAUGUCUUUGUGCUUGCAAAAAAUUCCUGAGCUACAUGAAAAGUUGUCUCCCUCCCCUCCCAAAAAAGAAAAAAGGAAAAGAGAAAAAAAGAUGGAAAUAUAGUGCUAAGAAGAAUUUAUUAACUGCUCGAAUUUGCUGUUUUUAGGAUUCCAACUCGGAUUUUAGCUGGGCAACUGAUUCGUGUACUGGAACAAGUGAUUCAAGCUCUGUUAAUAAGAUGUCUCCGAAACGGAAGAAACCUUUAAAGACAACCAAUGCCUAUUUCUACUGGGUGACCUGGGAACAAGGUUCCUUUGACUGGUUCAAGGGUGUCAUGAAUUAAGUUGCUGAUCUUGAUCACAGGGUAAAAAGGAAGCUCAAUUCUUGAUCGAUAUAACCCCUCUUCUACUCUUAUGUAUGAAAUAAAGGGCUAUUUAUUGAUGUUGGGAUUCUACUGUAAAUAAAAUGAAAUGACUAUGGGGAAUAUCCUAAGCAGGAUGAAUAUGGUACAACAGUAAAAAAAUGAGUAAUGUUGUAUUAGGUGUAAAUUGUAAUUACCAAGUGAGAGAAUAUGGUGAUCUAUAAGUACCUGAAAUUUCAUUUAGCAAACACGAAAAGGAGUAUCGUAUCAUAGACAGUGCCAAGAAGUUCCCAAAAAAUAAAAGACAUUGAAGUGGAAUAUGCAAAAGAACUCGAACUUGGUACCGAAGACCUAGAGAAAAAUCUUGCUCUUAUUCUGAAAAUUUUUAUUAGUUUGAUUAAACUAAGACAAUAUUCAAUAUCAUACAUAAGAGUAGAAGAGGGGUUAUAUCGAUGGGACCUUGACAUUUGGCUGCAUUGACCCAUGACAUCAACAUCAGGGAUUGUUGGACCGAUGACCAUCUAUUUGUCCAGCUUUUUCAUGGGUAUUUACAUAUUUCCAACACUAUCAUUUUUGACUUGCCAUCUGCUAGUAUCCAACCUGUUUUGAUAAGAUUAGAUCCAAAACUUUUGUGACCCACAAAAAAAAAAUGUUUAUAAUGGUCUUCCACCACUGUUUUGUAUGUUGUGGUCCACCUGAAACUAGUUCAAUCUUGUUUGGCUGUAUUUUCUCCACAAUUCAGUUUUUGAGGAUUCUUUUCAAAACACGACUCUUAUUAGUGGCACAUACAUACAGUGUAACAGGAAUACAGGACGGAGAAGAAAAUAUGGGGUCACACGGGCCAUAUGAAUUCUUUACAAUUUAUGAGAAGACUUAGCAAAAUGCCGUAACUAAAGUUGCAUAAAAGCACUGUUUUAAAACCUAAAGUGGACUCUCUCUCUCUCUCUCUCUCUCUCUCUCUCUCUC